UGCCUACGGGGCGCAGCAGUGAGGAAUAUUGGUCAAUGGACGAGAGCCUGAACCAGCCAAGUAGCGUGAAGGAUGACUGCCCUAUGGGUUGUAAACUUCUUUUAUAUGGGAAUAAAGUUUUCCACGUGUGGAAUUUUGUAUGUACCAUAUGAAUAAGGAUCGGCUAACUCCGUGCAAGCAGCCGCGGUAAUACGGAGGAUCCGAGCGUUAUCCGGAUUUAUUGGGUUUAAAGGGAGCGUAGGUGGUUUGUUAAGUUAGUUGUGAAAUUUUGCGGCUCAACCGUAAAAUUGCAGUUGAAACUGGCA
rnacentral:rRNA from 1 species